UCUGAGGAGUCAAAACAUUGUCGAAAAAAAACGAGUCACUCAAAGCCCCUAUAUACUAAUGAUUCGAGUGUGUUAUGGAUACACACUCGUCCGAAAGGAGAAGUUGUUGCAAGUAUUCUCUAUUUGAAUAUAAAGUGUCUCGAACAGUUGAUGCUGCUACAUCCAACUACUGCAACACAUUGUUCGUGACUUCUUCAUUGAUACAGACAGCAGAACGGUGGCCAAGAAAGUCGGAAUUCGCUCUGGAGUGUGUAACAACUUACCUGCCGAAUCGACCGCUCCCGAAAAUGAACGGCGCUGGAGCGAGCGAGCGACCGAUGCCGGACCGGCCGGGUGACAAGUUGCGCGAUCGCCGGCGAGGCGACUUUCCGAUGCCAGGUCGAGUAGGAGGGCACCGCGGCGCGCAUGGAAGCCGCGGGCGCGAGCCCGGGUGAUGCCGUUCGCGGGUGCAGAUCUCGGUGCAG
rnacentral:ncRNA from 1 species